GUGGGAGAUAGGUUAGCAAAGAUGGUGACCAAGCUGGCCCAAGUGGAACCAAUGAUGGUGAUGAACCUGAAGAUGCAACAACUCAAGAGGAACCUGCUGCUGAGACUUAAGAGGUUGGUCCUAGUGAUGGUUACAUGGGAGAAAGGAUGACUACAAUGUCUUCGUUUGAAAGAUUAAUGAUCAACCGCAUGGACACAUUUGCUGAAAAUCAAAGGAAUCUCCAUAAUUUGUGAGUCAACGUUCAAUCAUAUGGAUUCACGUUUUCA
rnacentral:lncRNA from 1 species